rnacentral:rRNA from 1 species
AAUUGGACCUGAUAUCAGG